rnacentral:tRNA from 1 species
GAGGGCGUAGUUCAGUGGUAGAGCAUAUGCUAAGCAUGCAUGAGGUCCUGGGUUCAAUCCCCAGCACCUUCA